rnacentral:misc_RNA from 1 species
UCUCCGUAGGUGAACCUGCGGAGGGAUCAUUGCUGAGUGAGGGCUCACGCCCGACCUCCAACCCUUUGUGAACGCAACUAGUUGCUUCGGGGGGCGACCCUGCCGUUUCGACGGCGAGCGCCCCCGGAGGCUCAUCAAACACUGCAUCUUUGCGUCGGAGUCUUAAUGAAUUUAAACAAAACUUUUAACAACGGAUCUCUUGGUUCUGGCAUCGAUGAAGAACGCAGC